rnacentral:rRNA from 1 species
UAGGGAAUUUUCGGCAAUGGGGGGAACCCUGACCGAGCAACGCCGCGUGAAGGAAGAAGGAAUUCGUUCUGUAAACUUCUGUUAUGAAGGAAGAAAGACGGAUGGAGGAAAUGACAUCCGAGUGACGGUACUUUAUGAGAAAGCCACGGCUAACUACGUGCC